UCCCUGAUAGCUCAGUUGGUAGAGCGUUCGACUGUUAAUCGAAUGGUCGCAGGUUCGAGUCCUGCUCAGGGAGCCA
rnacentral:tRNA from 36 species